AUAUUGUUUGGUUCUGGCUCAAAAGUCAACUACAUCUUUUAAAUUCAUAUGCAACGCCAAAGGCCCCCGUAAAGACCCGCAAUUUAAAUAAUAAAUAAACAAGCUUAUAUUUACACUUUAAAUUACACCACUUUUAGACAACACUCGACAAUGAUUACAAAACAUUACGCCAGCAAUGCUGAAACCUGAGACAACUAACGAAAGUUAAGUCCGGAAACUGAUAUUUAUGGGCUGGGAAAAAAUAGUGCCAGCAUCCGCGGUUAAACUAAAAGCCCAAGCUGACUCCCCCGGCUAGUAUGUGGUUAACAAAUUAAGACUUAAAACAUAAACCCACGAGGUCUAAUUCAAACACACAAACUCCACCAAAAAAGUCAUCUGUCCACACCACGAAAGCUAAGACCGAAACGGGGAUUAGUACCCCCCUAUCCCUAGCUAUAAAUUAUACACCCGAGUACUACGAACACAUGUUUAAAACUCAAAGAACUUGGCGGCUUUUCGACCCAACCAGGGGAACCUGUGAAUGAAACCGAAGAUCCACGUUCCAUGCAACCUUUUUUUGCCCACACAGCCUGCUUAUUUCCGCCAACCGUUUCCCUCUCAACAGCGGAAGCAACAAGAUAGAAAUCUACAAACCAGGUCGAGAUCCAGCCUAUAAAAAGGACUUCAUGGGUUACAAUCCUCAAAACGGACACAAAAACACCCCAUAUAAAAGUGUUAAGGCGGACUUGGAAGUAACAGCUUUUAAAGUUAAAGCUCUGAAUAAGGCCAUCCGAUUUGUGCACAAACCGCCCGUCACCCUCAUUGAAAAACGAGGUAAGUCGUAACAAGGUAGGCUUAACGGAAGUUGUGCCUAAU
rnacentral:rRNA from 1 species